rnacentral:rRNA from 1 species
AUACAUGCAGUAGAACGCUGAAGAGAGGAGCUUGCUCUUCUUGGAUGAGUUGCGAACGGGUGAGUAACGCGUAGGUAACCUGCCUUGUAGCGGGGGAUAACUAUUGGAAACGAUAGCUAAUACCGCAUAACAAUGGAUGACACAUGUCAUUUAUUUGAAAGGGGCAAUUGCUCCACUACAAGAUGGACCUGCGUUGUAUUAGCUAGUAGGUGAGGUAAUGGCUCACCUAGGCGACGAUACAUAGCCGACCUGAGAGGGUGAUCGGCCACACUGGGACUGAGACACGGCCCAGACUCCUACGGGAGGCAGCAGUAGGGAAUCUUCGGCAAUGGGGGCAACCCUGACCGAGCAACGCCGCGUGAGUGAAGAAGGUUUUCGGAUCGUAAAGCUCUGUUGUAAGUCAAGAACGGGUGUGAGAGUGGAAAGUUCACACUGUGACGGUAGCUUACCAGAAAGGGACGGCUAACUACGUGCCAGCAGCCGCGGUAAUACGUAGGUCCCGAGCGUUGUCCGGAUUUAUUGGGCGUAAAGCGAGCGCAGGCGGUUUGAUAAGUCUGAAGUUAAAGGCUGUGGCUCAACCAUAGUUCGCUUUGGAAACUGUCAAACUUGAGUGCAGAAGGGGAGAGUGGAAUUCCAUGUGUAGCGGUGAAAUGCGUAGAUAUAUGGAGGAACACCGGUGGCGAAAGCGGCUCUCUGGUCUGUAACUGACGCUGAGGCUCGAAAGCGUGGGGAGCGAACAGGAUUAGAUACCCUGGUAGUCCACGCCGUAAACGAUGAGUGCUAGGUGUUGGAUCCUUUCCGGGAUUCAGUGCCGCAGCUAACGCAUUAAGCACUCCGCCUGGGGAGUACGACCGCAAGGUUGAAACUCAAAGGAAUUGACGGGGGCCCGCACAAGCGGUGGAGCAUGUGGUUUAAUUCGAAGCAACGCGAAGAACCUUACCAGGUCUUGACAUCCCGAUGCUAUUUCUAGAGAUAGAAAGUUACUUCGGUACAUCGGUGACAGGUGGUGCAUGGUUGUCGUCAGCUCGUGUCGUGAGAUGUUGGGUUAAGUCCCGCAACGAGCGCAACCCCUAUUGUUAGUUGCCAUCAUUCAGUUGGCACUCUAGCGAGACUGCCGGUAUAACCGGAGAAAGGUGGGGAUGACGUCAAUCAUCAGGCCCCUAUGACCGGGCUACCACGUGCUACAUGGUUGGUACAC